AGUGUAGGUGGCUCAUUAAGUCACAUGUGAAAUCCCCGGGCUCAACCUGGGAACUGCAUUUGUGACUGUGGAGCUAGAGCACGGUAGAGGGGGAUGGAAUUCCGCGUGUAGCAGUGAAAUGCGUAGAUAUGCGGAGGAACACCAAUGGCGAAGGCAAUCCCCUGGACCUGUACUGACGCUCAUGCACGAAAGCUGGGAGCAAACA
rnacentral:rRNA from 1 species